ensembl:lncRNA
GCUAUGGCAUUAUCUGCACUGGCUCCAGAAGGAAGCAUAUGAAGAUCUUUGAGCCUGGGUCUCCCUGCUUCAGGAGCCACAUGAACCUUUAUCAUCAGCAGAUACAAGCUCAUGGGGAAUAUAGCUGAGGACACUUCAUUAGGCUGUGGCCUCUACUUUAACAGUCUCAGGAGCACAGAAUCUCCUGGAGCUCUUCUGGAACAGUGGGCCUUUGCAGAGGUCUGGCUCUUUGCUGCUAUUCAAGCCUUGGAGGGAUUGCUUGAACUGCAAAUGCUGAACUUCAGUUGGAUUUAUAGGACCCCGGCAGUGUAAAGCAGCUGUGUAUUUAUCUGCUGGAAAACUGUUUUUCAGAUAAUGGAGACCAGAAACACUCAUCUUCCCGGAACAGUCCCACCAGACAAGCCCUCCUCAAGCUGCCCUUGCUGAACCCAUCUGUGGGAGUGGGCUGGGCUAGCCUGGUGCCAAAAUCACUGCAUUUACUACAUGGAUUUGUACAGUCUGGAAGAUGUGGUGCAGCAAUCUUGGUAGAGAUCAUCAAAAGGAGUGGCAGCUGGUUACAUGAACAGUACAGUCAUGGAUGGUCCAAUAAAGGGUGAGAGUGAUACUACAUUUUUCCAAUAGCCAACUGUAGAAAGAUAACAACAGGAAUAUUAAAGGGGUGGUGUGACAGUAAAGUGUUUUUCAUGAACCUCCCUGCUGGCUCCUGCUUGAACAAGGAUGCCUGGGAAAGAUCUCUGGUCUAUCAGGAGAAGAGUCCAUGCAGCCUUAGAGCUCACCUGUGCCCCAAAAUAAAAACCCACCAUGAGCAGGGUCAGGUCUGGCAGCUGAUGACAGAGGAAGGCGUUAUGUUGGGAUCCCAUGGCAGCAUGACAGUAAAGAACCUCCAUUGAUUGCCAUGGGAAUAUUCUGCAUGGAAAGGCAGCGGGAGCUGUGCCUUUAACAGGAAGCAGCAGUGAUAGUCAGUGAUGUUUCUGUCUGCACAGAAAUAAAGUGC